rnacentral:rRNA from 1 species
AGUGAACGCUGGCGGUAGGCCUAACUCAUGCAAGUCGAACGGCAGCACAGUAAGAGCUUGCUCUUACGGGUGGCGAGUGGCGGACGGGUGAGGAAUACAUCGGAAUCUACUUUUUCGUGGGGGAUAACGUAGGGAAACUUACGCUAAUACCGCAUACGACCUACGGGUGAAAGCAGGGGAUCUUCGGACCUUGCGCGAUUGAAUGAGCCAAUGUCGGAUUAGCUAGUUGGCGGGGUAAAGGCCCACCAAGGCGACGAUCCGUAGCUGGUCUGAGAGGAUGAUCAGCCACACUGGAACUGAGACACGGUCCAGACUCCUACGGGAGGCAGCAGUGGGGAAUAUUGGACAAUGGGCGCAAGCCUGAUCCAGCCAUACCGCGUGGGUGAAGAAGGCCUUCGGGUUGUAAAGCCCUUUUGUUGGGAAAGAAAAGCAGCAGGUUAAUACCCCGCUGUUCUGACGGUACCCAAAGAAUAAGCACCGGCUAACUUCGUG